UACGUAGGGUGCGAGCUUUGUCCGGAAUUAAUGGGCGUAAAGAGCUCGUAGGUGGUUUGUCGCGUUGUCCGUGAAAACUCACAACUCAAUUGUGGGCGUGCGGGCGAUACGGGCAGACUGGAGUACUGCAGGGGAGACUGGAAUUCCUGGUGUAGCGGUGGAAUGCGCAGAUAUCAGGAGGAACACCGGUGGCGAAGGCGGGUCUCUGGGCAGUAACUGACGCUGAGGAGCGAAAGCGUGGGGAGCGAACAGG
rnacentral:rRNA from 1 species